CCUACGGGAGGCAGCAGUAGGGAAUAUUGCUCAAUGGGGGAAACCCUGAAGCAGCAACGCCGCGUGGAGGAUGAAGGUUUUCGGAUUGUAAACUCCUUUUGUUAGAGAAGAUAAUGACGGUAUCUAACGAAUAAGCACCGGCUAACUCCGUGCCAGCAGCCGCGGUAAUACGGAGGGUACAAGCGUUACUCGGAAUCACUGGGCGUAAAGAGCGCGUAGGCGGGAUAGCAAGUCAGAUGUGAAAUCCUAGGGCUUAACCAUAGAACUGCAUUUGAAACUGUUAUUCUAGAGUAUGGGAGAGGUAGGUGGAAUUCUUGGUGUAGGGGUAAAAUCCGUAGAGAUCAAGAGGAAUACUCAUUGCGAAGGCGACCUGCUAGAACAUAACUGACGCUGAUGCGCGAAAGCGUGGGGAGCAAACAGGAUUAGAUACCCGUGUAGUC
rnacentral:rRNA from 1 species